UACACGUCUGUCACACACUCAUCAAAAUUGCAUAAUGAAUAAAAUAAAACACAAGAAAUAUUAAGGGCAGCCAAUUUCAUCUUCGUAGGACCCAUGUAGCGAGGACCCGAUGCCAGGUCCAGUGGACAGACUUCAGACGUCUCUGUGUGUCCGGUCCUGUCUCUGGUUGUCAGGUUACAGACGCUGCUGCACCCGCACGUUUAAAAAUGUCUACACCUGAAACUCCACCACGUCUAAAGAAACAAAAACGUUUGCAAAUGUACAGACUGGGUUGGAAGAGUGGAACCCCUGGCAAUGGGUACAAGGCAAACUGUGUUUUCUGUUGCUCAUGGACUGUCUGAAGUAAGGCAGCAUCAGGAGACAAACAUGGAGGAAAUAUGAGAACAGAGAGAACCCAACCAGCAGGUCACAGUUUAUCAUCAUCUAAUCAUCUCCUGAAGUCGAUAUGGUCCCUCUCUAUCUCCCCACACAUCCACCAACCACUGGAACACAUCUCCAAAGUUCUGCUGGGCCAGCUCAGCUUCCCCUCAGAAGAAGUGCAACCACCUGCCAGAUGAAGGAGCCUUUUGAGAGGCAGCUGGCAUCGUGAUUGGACUGUACUUUGGUCUGUUCCAAUCCAGCUUCAGCUCCAGAGACGGCAGGCAGGGACGAGUCAUCGGAGGCCGGGUGGACGAAGGCACGAAGCUGAGUACAAUCCAGAAAACAACAGAGGAGUGCAGCGGUCCAGGGCCAGAACAAACAGAGUAGCAUUGUAUGUCUCUUAGAAAACAUCAUAGUAUAGCCUUUGGUAAGAAAAAACACCAUCAUAUACAUCGUAUAUUGUACAAAUAACAAGUCAAAGGAAAGAGACAUACAUUGUAGAAUUGUAGUAAUUGUGGGCUGACUGAUUUGCUUCAGAUGUGUGGCUGUGUUUUAUGGUCCUUGUGUCCCACCCCCCCACCUCUCUAUCUCUACCCCUCUAUCUGUAUCCCUCUAUCUCUGCCUCUACCCCUCUAUCUCUACCUCUCUACCUCUUCUGUCCCUCUCAACCCGCCCGGCCAGCAGGCAGAUGGGUCCCCCCACAUUAGAGCCGGGUUCUGCUCGAGGUUUUUUUUCCCUGUUAAAAGGGUGUUUUCCUUGCCACUGUCGCCUUUUGGCUUGCUCUGGGGGUCAGGCAUAUGGGUUCUGUAAAGCGUCUCGAGACAAUUUGACUGUAAUUGGCGCUAUAUAAAUAAAAUUGAAUUGAAAAAAUUGAA